rnacentral:rRNA from 1 species
CAGCCGUAAACUAUGCUCGCUAGGUGUCAGGGACGGUGCGACCGUUUCUGGUGCCGCAGGGAAGCCGUGAAGCGAGCCACCUGGGAAGUACGGUCGCAAGGCUGAAACUUAAAGGAAUUGGCGGGGGAGCACUACAACGGGUGGAGCCUGCGGUUUAAUUGGACUCAACGCCGGAAAACUCACCGGGGGCGACAGCAGAAUGAUGGCCAGGUUGAUGACCUUGCUUGACAAGCUGAGAGGUGGUGCAUGGCGUAGUCGUGU